UUUAGUGAGACAAAAAUUGUCUAUUCAAUUCCCAUUUAAUCUGGCAAAACAACAACCGGCAUUGACAAGGAUAUAUAUAAAUUGAUUCCUCCAAACUUACAACUCCAGUAGCUACUAUGGGCAAAGGAGCAUAACCUUUUGCUGAAUACUAUCUUUCACAAAAGCUAUAAAGAAUUUGAGCUUUCCAGAGAGAGUACAUGUUAUAACCCAAAUCUGUCUAUUUGUAUGAUGAACAUUAUUUUCAUAUUAAAAUAUUUUGUUUGAAACAUCUCAUAUUUAGGCUUAAACUUUCUCCUGUAAAAUGGCUCACAUAAACUGUAUGUCCUGGGUGGAGGCCCUCAAACACCAUAAUCACUCUAUGAUACAAGUAAUUUUUUCUAAUAUUAAGCUUAAACGCAUCACACAAAAAGGUUAAUUAAAC
rnacentral:lncRNA from 1 species